rnacentral:rRNA from 1 species
AAUUGUUCGCAAUGGGCGAAAGCCUGACGACGCAACGCCGCGUGGAGGAUGAAGAAUUUCGGUUCGUAAACUCCUUUCGACCGAGAUGAAUACUCAUGGACCUAACACGUCCGUGAGCUGACAGUAUCCAGAGAAGAAGCCCCGGCUAACUCUGUGCCAGCAGCCGCGGUAAUACAGGGGGGGCAAGCGUUGUUCGGAAUUACUGGGCGUAAAGGGUUCGUAGGUGGCCACUUAAGUCAGACGUGAAAUCCCUCAGCUUAACUGGGGAACUGCGUCUGAUACUGAGUGGCUUGAGUGCAGGAGAGGGAUGCGGAAUUCCAGGUGUAGCGGUGAAAUGCGUAGAUAUCUGGAGGAACACCGGUGGCGAAGGCGGCAUCCUGGACUGUAACUGACACUGAGGAACGAAAGCCAGGGGAGCAAACGGG